rnacentral:rRNA from 1 species
AUUGAACGCUGGCGGCAGGCCUAACACAUGCAAGUCGAACGAGUGGCGGACGGGUGAGUAAUGUCUGGGAAACUGGCUGAUGGAGGGGGAUAACUACUGGAAACUGUAGCUAAUACCGCAUACCAUCGGAUGUGCCCAAGUGGGAUUAGGUAGUUGGUGAGGUAACGGCUCACCAAGCCGACGAUCCCUAGCUGGUCUGAGAGGAUGACCAGCCACACUGGAACUGAGACACGGUCCAGACUCCUACGGGAGGCAGCAGUGGGGAAUAUUGCACAAUGGGCGCAAGCCUGAUGCAGCCAUGCCGCGUGUAUGAAGAAGGCCUUAGGGUUGUAAAGUACUUUCAGCGGGGAGGCGUUACUCGCAGAAGAAGCACCGGCUAACUCCGUGCCAGCAGCCGCGGUAAUAC